UACGGAGGGAGCUAGCGUUGUUCGGAUAUACGGGGCGUAAAGCGCACGUAGGCGGGUUGCCAAGUCGGGGGUGAAAUCCUGGAGCUCAACUCCAGAACUGCCUUCGAUACUGGCGACCUUGGAGUCCGGGAGAGGUGAGUGGAACUGCGAGUGUAGAGGUGAGAUUCGUAGAUAUUCGGAAGAACACCAGUGGCGAAGGCGGCUCACUGGACCGUUGUUGACGCUGAGGUGCGAAAGCGUGGGGAGCAAACAGG
rnacentral:rRNA from 1 species